GGGCUCGUAGCUCAGCUUGGAAGAGCAACAGGCUUUUAACCUGUGGGCCGUGGGUUCAAAUCCCUCCGAGCUCG
rfam:Archaeon Heimdall LC_2 HeimC2_contig000060, whole genome shotgun sequence.